CUACGGGACGCACCAGUGAGGAAUAUUGCACAAUGGGGGGAACCCUGAUGCAGCAACGCCGCGUGGAGGAUGACGCAUUUCGGUGUGUAAACUCCUUUUAUAUGUCAAGAAAAUGACGGUAGCAUAUGAAUAAGCACCGGCUAACUCCGUGCCAGCAGCCGCGGUAAUACGGAGGGUGCAGAGCGUUACUCGGAAUCACUUGGCGUAAAGGACGCGUAGGCGGGUUGGAAAGUCAGGUGUGAAAUCCUACAGCUUAACUGUAGAGCUGCACUUGAAACUUCUAAUCUAGAGUAUGGGAGGGGGAGAUGGAAUUAGUGGUGUAGGGGUAAAAUCCGUAGAUAUCACUAGGAAUACCUAAAGCGAAGGCGAUCUCCUGGAACAUUACUGACGCUAAGGCGUGAAAGCGUGGGGAGCAAACAGGAUUAGAUACCCGUGUAGUC
rnacentral:rRNA from 1 species